UACGUAGGGUGCAAGCGUUGUCCGGAAUUAUUGGGCGUAAAGAGCUCGUAGGCGGUCUGUCGCGUCGGCUGUGAAAACCCGGAGCUCAACUCCGGGCCUGCAGUCGAUACGGGCAGACUGGAGUUCGGCAGGGGAGACUGGAAUUCCUGGUGUAGCGGUGAAAUGCGCAAAUAUCAGGAGGAACACCGGUGGCGAAGGCGGGUCUCUGGGCCGAUACUGACGCUGAGGAGCGAAAGCGUGGGGAGCGAACAGG
rnacentral:rRNA from 1 species